UCUGUAAAUGAAAAUGAAUUAGUCGUCUUUGUUCAAAAUUUUGUAUAAAUUUUCAAUUUUAUUCGUUCAAAUUACAUGUAAUAAGCAGACAUGUCUUUCCAACCAUACCGUCUCCAACGGUGGUUAUUUUCAGCGGUCGUAGGCUUGCCAUUUUGUUAGGUAUACAUGAUUCAUUAGAUUUUCGGUUGAUAAUAAUUGAUAGGUCGAAUUCAACUUUCACAUUUAUUUACGUUUUAGGUUUUAGUUUUAAAAAUCCACUUAAAUUCAGGUUUUGAU